rnacentral:piRNA from 1 species
UUCAUUCUGCACAAUGUUAUUCCUGUGAG